UACGUAGGUGGCAAGCGUUGUCCGGAUUUAUUGGGUUUAAAGGGUGCGUAGGCGGCUUAUUAAGUCAGUGGUGAAAUACUCUAGCUCAACUAGAGGGGUGCCAUUGAUACUGAUGAGCUUGAGUACAGAUGAGGUAGGCGGAAUUGACGGUGUAGCGGUGAAAUGCUUAGAUAUCGUCAAGAACACCUAUAGCGAAGGCAGUUCACUAUGCUUGUAUUGACACUGAGGCACGAAAGCGUGGGGAUCAAACAGG
rnacentral:rRNA from 1 species